rnacentral:rRNA from 1 species
GAUGAACGCUGGCGGCGUGCCUAAUGCAUGCAAGUCGAGCGAACAGAUGAGGAGCUUGCUCCUCUGACGUUAGCGGCGGACGGGUGAGUAACACGUGGAUAACCUACCUAUAAGACUGGGAUAACUUCGGGAAACCGGAGCUAAUACCGGAUAAUAUAUUGAACCGCAUGGUUCAAUAGUGAAAGACGGUUUUGCUGUCACUUAUAGAUGGAUCCGCGCCGCAUUAGCUAGUUGGUAAGGUAACGGCUUACCAAGGCAACGAUGCGUAGCCGACCUGAGAGGGUGAUCGGCCACACUGGAACUGAGACACGGUCCAGACUCCUACGGGAGGCAGCAGUAGGGAAUCUUCCGCAAUGGGCGAAAGCCUGACGGAGCAACGCCGCGUGAGUGAUGAAGGUCUUCGGAUCGUAAAACUCUGUUAUUAGGGAAGAACAAAUGUGUAAGUAACUAUGCACGUCUUGACGGUACCUAAUCAGAAAGCCAUGGCUAACUACGUG